GUUCCCAUGACUAUAAAAUGGUUAGCUUCACUGUUUGCAUUAGGGUACCCUAAGCAGCAUCAGCACUGGAAGGGUAAAUAGCCUAACUGGGAAAAAAAACACCUGCAUUCAGCCCCUUUGAAACUUCAAGACACUUGAAGAAACGUGCUCUGAUUUUUCUUCUUCACAAUCCAUUAACGGGCCUCCGCAACGUUUCCUGGUUGGAAAUUUGAUUGCAAUUCGUGAAAUGCAGGGGGAAAUGAGGCCUCGAUACGGACCCGGGAGGAACUGCUUCAAAAUGGCCGACACUCUAAAGAAGGGAGGGCGGGGAAGCCGCGGAUUAACUCUCGCGAUAAUUCCAACCUGGGCCGGGAACCAACGGCAAAAGGGAGUGGGGCACCUCGACGAAGUGGGCGGAUUCGAUACCCAACGUCGUAACGUCCAUGCGAAUGGGGCGGGGCUUGGUGUGUUGCGGGCGUGGUUUGUUUCUUUCAGGGAGACCAGAAUUGAAUGCAGCAUUCCAAAAAUGGCCUAAUCAAUGUCCUGCAACAUGAUCUCUCAACUCCUAUACUCAAUGCACUGAACAAUACUGUCAAGCAUCCAAAUGGCUUCUUCACUAUCCUGCCUAACUGUGAUUCUACUUUCAAGGAACUGUGAACUGGUACUUCAAGGUCUCUUUGUUCAGCAGCACUCCCCAGCAACUUACCAUUAAGUGUAUAAGUCCUGCCCUGAUUUGCCUUUUCAGAAUGCAGCACCUCACAUUUAUCUAUGGAGUUCCAGCUAUGAAGAUCAUUUUACACAUGGACUGUCAAACUCAUUACAAUCAUUAUGAAGCAGGGGUUAUUAUAAAUCAGAAGUAAUAAAACAGUGGCAGAUUAGAAACUUAGAAGUUGCACAUAGAAAGUACUGCCUUCGUCCUGAAACCUCAAAAAAUUUCAUGGCCAGUAAGUUCCUUCUGACGUUUACACACUGUUUCAGGGAAACAGGCAACCAUUUGACAAACAGCAGGAAUUUAUGAGAAAUUAAUCUAUUUUGAAAGGCCAUUAAACAGAAUAGUUAACUCUGUUUCAAUCUCCACUGAUGGAAUCUGUCCUGGACAGAUGCGACGGUCAAGAAGGCUCUACAACACCUUUUCUUCAUCAGGUGGCUCAUGAAAAUUGGUACAUCCAUAAAGACCCUCACCAACUUCGACAGAUGCACCGCAGAAAGCAUUCUCUUCAGGUGCACAGCCCCGGUGCGGAAACUGCUAUUCCAAGGACCGUGAGAAACUGCAGAAAGUUGUACACAACCCAGAUCGCCAUGGAAUCCAAACUCCCAUCAAUGAACUCAGUUUACACUUCUGCUUGCCGGGAAAAGGUUGCCAACGUCAUCAAAGAUCCCUCCCACCCCAAUAAUGCUCUCUUCCAACUUCUUCCAUCAAGCAGAAGAUACAGAAGCUUGAACACACAUACAGACAGGUUUAAGAACAGCUUCUUCCCUGCCGUUAUUAGACUGCUGGAUGGACCUCUAUCACUACAAAUAAUGUUGGUCUUGCUAAUGUUGAUUUUGCUUUGUGCACCUCCAAUGCAGCUAUAACCUUGUAUGUCUCGCUCUGUCUAAGCACCUUAUGACCUGUAUGUCCAUGUUUGCUAUGAUCUGCAUUUACUGUGUGCAAAACAAAGCUUUUCACCGUACUUAGCUUCAUGUGACAACAAAAAAAUCAACUCAAAUCAAAUUAAAUCAUGAUGUUGCCUGUGCAAUUUAGCAUUUGCUGCUUUUAUUUCAAGUUUCCAGUAUCUACAAUAUUUUGCGUCUAUGUUAGUUUUUGCUGAUGUUCCUUGAGCAAGGAAGUUUCACGAGGACUAUGGGAGAACCCCCACUGGCUUGGGAAAGAAAGCCAGAGAAUCAUUUAAAACUCAUUGAACAGCAUCAGUUGGCAGACUCAUCAAAAGCCAUUCUGCCAAGGUAGCAAUGCCUAAAUCAUGAAUUGUUGGCUGACACUGUAUGCUCAAGUCCCUCAAGUGAGGCCAGAAUCCUCAAUCUUCUAAUUCCGGCAGGAAACCUACUACCUAAUGUUGGAUAACACCCUCAGUACUCUCCCUGGUGUCCUUUCAGAGCUUAGUUCUUUCCACGUAUUGAUUGUGUUGGUUUAGUAUCAUUCAGUAUUCAAACUCCAAUGUAAGCAGUCAUGAGCAUGUAUUUGAGUGAGUUGGUUAUGUUACUAUGAAGAUGCUUUGAAACUAUGCUAAUGCACAGUGACAAGUAAGCAUAAAUCAGAUGUAUAAUGUCAAGUUGGCUCAGUUAGUUGACAUACCUGUGUCUCUUGUGUUCAAGUGUUUCUCUAGACAACUGAGAGAGCAUUGCUUUGGAAGAGGCACUGUUCUUGGUUAAACUGACAACCCUAUCUGUCUGUUCCAUUGUUCAUGUGCAUGUUAAAUGUCUCAGCCAGUGUGCAGCAGAACAGUCUUUUCCCACUCUCCAGGCCAAUAUUUCUGACUCAAUCAAAAAACAGAUUCAGAGGACAUUCAUCUCAAGAUAAAAUGUGAUAAAUAGUGGUAUGCAAAAUAAUUGCUCUCCCCUCCAUAACAGACAAAUUAAUUAUAAUUUAACAAACUUGUAUUAAGGAGCUGAGGAGCUACAUAAAUGCAAGUCUUUGAUCAAUUGGUUUAUUGAAUGCAUUUUUAAAAUUGCUUUUAAACUGGAGGAGAACAAAAGCCUAAUGGAGCAAGGCACCAUUUCAUAAUAGAGACAGAACAAGAAUGAGCAUUUCAGGUCAAUGACUUUUCAUUAGAACAUCAAUAGUACUGGCUUGCAACAAUAACUCUGUUUAUCUCACCACAGAUUUUACCUGACCUGCUGAGUAUUUCUGGCGUUUUCAUUUUGAACUGCAGGUUUCCAGCAUUCACCAUUGUAGAGAUUGGGACCAGGUGGAUCUCAUUGACUAUACGGGUUGUUGAUCUGUGCCAAUCAGGAAAGCCUUGGCUGACGAAUACAACCAUGAGAUUAGAAUCUUCUCAGUUGAGGGCAGACUUCGAGCUGGCUGGUCUCAGCCAGUGUACUAUGCACAAGUAAA